CAGCCGCCGCGGGAAAACGGAGGGUGCAAGCGUUAAUCGGAAUUACUGGGCGUAAAGCGCACGCAGGCGGUCUGACAAGUCAGAUGUGAAAUCCCCGGGCUUAACCUGGGAACUGCAUUUGAAACUGUCAGGCUGGAGUCUUGUAGAGGGGGGUGGAAUUCCAGGUGUAGCGGUGAAAUGCGUAGAGAUCUGGAGGAAUACCGGUGGCGAAGGCGGCCCCCUGGACAAAGACUGACGCUCAGGUGCGAAAGCGUGGGGAGCAAACAGGAUUAGAUACCCCUGUAGUCCCUGUCUCUUAUAC
rnacentral:rRNA from 1 species